UGGUGGGUGCCCCCUUGCAGUAGUCAGGAACAGGAGAGAGAAGAGGUCCUUCACUGCUUGGAAAGCCUCUGGUAUCGAAAGGACUGUCAGACCGCUGGCACUGUGGCAGCUUUUGGCAGUUGGCGGAGGGUUCUGCACUGGACUCAACACCCUAGGCAACGGUGCCAUCUCUGGCUCAGGGAGGAAAAGUGGCCCAACACAGGUCUCACUGUAAUGGCAUCUCCCUGCUUGUCCUUUCUCUGCACUGGAGGGAAAUUGGUGCUCAUUCACAGAACAAUACAACAAAUUCUUAAACGGAGGAUUGCAACAAUCAGCUUAAAAUCUAUCGCAUAAAUGAAGGGAAGUACAUGUGAAAUCUGUGGACAACCUACAUCCUUCAAAAGAAGCUAGCACAAAAAUUGGUUUCAAAAACCUCUUUAAACCCUCUGCAGCUCAAAGCAUGCUCCAUGCCAUAACUUCUCAGUCUGUGACAUCAGAAAAACAUCCACAAGAUUAUGACUUCAGCUGUGGAAUAAACACAUGAAAC